rnacentral:rRNA from 1 species
UGGGGAAUAUUGGACAAUGGGCGAAAGCCUGAUCCAGCCAUGCCGCGUGUGUGAAGAAGGUCUUCGGAUUGUAAAGCACUUUAAGUUGGGAGGAAGGGCAGUAAGUUAAUACCUUGCUGUUUUGACGUUACCGACAGAAUAAGCACCGGCUAACUUCGUGCCAGCAGCCGCGGUAAUACGAAGGGUGCAAGCGUUAAUCGGAAUUACUGGGCGUAAAGCGCGCGUAGGUGGUUUGAUAAGUUGGAUGUGAAAGCCCCGGGCUCAACCUGGGAAUUGCAUCCAAAACUGUCUGACUAGAGUAUGGCAGAGGGUGGUGGAAUUUCCUGUGUAGCGGUGAAAUGCGUAGAUAUAGGAAGGAACACCAGUGGCGAAGGCGACCGCCUGGGCUAAUACUGACACUGAGGUGCGAAAGCGUGGGGAGGCAAACAAGGAUUAGAUACCCUGGUAGUCCACGCCGUAAACGAUGUCGACUAGCCGUUGGGAUCCUUGAGAUCUUAGUGGCGCAGCUAACGCAUUAAGUCGACCGCCUGGGGAGUACGGCCGCAAGGUU